GACGAGGUGGCCGAGUGGUUAAGGCGUUGGACUGCUAAUCCAAUGUGCUUUGCAGGCGUGGGUUCAAAUCCCAUCCUCGUCG
rnacentral:tRNA from 1 species